CCUACGGGUGGCAGCAGUCGGGAAUAUUGCGCAAUGGAGGAAACUCUGACGCAGUGACGCCGCGUGCAGGAAGAAGGUUUUCGGAUUGUAAACUGCUUUAGACAGGGAAGAAACAAGCCAGUACCUGUAAAAUAAGCUCCGGCUAACUACGUGCCAGCACCCGCGGUAAUACGUAGGGAGCAAGCGUUAUCCGGCUUUAUUGGGGGUAACGGGUGCGUAGGCGGGAAGGCAAGUUGGGUGUGAAAUCCUUGGGCUUAACUGAGGAACUGCAAACAAAACUAACUUUCUUGAGUGCUGGAGAGGAAAGUGGAAUGCUUGGUGUAGCGGUGAAAUGCGUAGAGAGUAGGAGGAACACCAGUGGCGAAGGCGACUUUCUGGACAAUAACUGACGUUGAGGCACGAAAGUGUGGGGAGCAAACAGGAUUAGAUACCCCUGUAGUC
rnacentral:rRNA from 1 species